CCUACGGGAGGCAGCAGGGGGGAAUUUUGGGCAAUGGGGGCAACCCUGAUCCAGCCCUCCCGCGUGUGUGAAAAAGCCCUUCGGGUUGUAAAGCACUUUUGGACGGAAUGAAAUCGCGCGGGUGAAUAUCCCGCGUGGAUGACGGUACCGGAAGAAGAAGCACCGGCAAACUAUGUGCCAGCAGCCGCGGUAAUACGUAGGGUGCGAGCGUUUUUUGGAAUUACUGGGCGUAAAGUGUGCGCAGGCGGCCGCGCAAGUCGAGUGUGAAAUCCCCGGGCUUAACCUGGGAAUUGCGCUCGAAACUACGUGGCUGGAGUGUGGCAGAGGAAGGUGGAAUUCCACGUGUAGCGGUGAAAUGCGUAGAGAUGUGGAGGAACACCGAUGGCGAAGGCAGCCUUCUGGGUCAACACUGACGCUCAGGCACGAAAGCGUGGGGAGCAAACAGGAUUAGAUACCCUGGUAGUCCACGCCCUAAACGAUGAUGACUAGUUGUGGAGGAGUUAAAUCCCUUAGUGACGCAGCUAACGCGAGAAGUCAUCCGCUGGAGAGUAC
rnacentral:rRNA from 1 species